rnacentral:lncRNA from 1 species
UUCGCAUGACAAUAUAGGUUUAAUACUUAGAAUUUACAUUGAUAAAAUUGAACUUUUUUUUUUUUGUUAGGCUUACUACAGGCCUCGGGGGUCUUAAGCUUGCCCAGGCCCUAGUGCCGGUCCGGCCCAUAGUUUCGGGUCAUAACAGUUUGAUAUGCUACAAUUUAAAAUAAGAAAUUCAAUUGAAUUCCACAAAAUUAUGUUUGGAAUAAAUUCUUAAAUGAAAAUUCAUUUGUCUUCAUUUCUUAUAACACACUUUACAUAAUAAUUGAAUAAAAAUAAAUAACAAACAUCAAUUAUAUUUAUUAUAUACAAUAUAAUAACUUUGUCAUUUUUUAUUAAAAUAUAAAUAAUAAAUUUCAUAUAAAUGAGCACACUAAUAUUCAACGCUAGUUAAUUAAUUAUAUUUGUCACGACCCGUCUCCGUGGCCGGACCGACACUAGGGCCAAGGUAAGCUUAAGGCCCCCGAGACCCAUAGUAAGCCUAAACUACUCAACUUAUACAUGCCACACCAUUUAACAGAACAGUAAGCUCAUACAAGUUAGGAUAUAAAUAUAAAUAAAUAUUAUACAAUCCGGCCCAAUUUUAAUUAUCUCAAAUAAAGUUUAGUUUGGGCCUAAUCAUGAUAAAUCACAUCACGUGGAAAUUAGUCAGUGGCGUCACCGAAAUCCCGGACGAGCCGUACUCUCACCUGGCCAUCCUUUCAGACAUGUGCACCCGGGGAGCCAAUCCCUCAUACCUGGCCGACCGGUCUAAUCCUUACACGACCAGUCCUCUCAUUGUUUUUACAUUCUCUUUUCUUUUCCAUACCAACAGGAGGCAACCCGGUGGUCUCCAUCCAAUCUAGAUCAUCAGGCGCUCACAAUAGGAGGCCACCCUGCGGGCUAUCUAGACUAUUAGGUGCGCAACGACGAGAGAUCAUCCUAUGGUUUCCAUAUAAUCCAUGGUAUCAGGUGCACACGGGGGGCCGAUCUCCCAUUUCCCGGCCGACGGUCCAAUUUCAUAAUUUCAUCAUAAUCAGGAUCCAAGCUUUAUCGACCGUCCUCACAAAUCCAUGGUGACCCACUUCAUCCCAAUUCCACACAAACAAAGCACAAUAUAUACAUAGCACAAGUAAUCAGACAAGGUAUUCAACGUAAUACACCAAUUCCAUCCAAUGUUCAAUCAUACAUGUAUAAUUAUACAGUAAUAAUGACAUGAUAUGUUUAUAAGAUACUCAUAAUAAUAUACUGUUAAUAUAUAAAUAUAAAAAUAUAUAUUAGAAUAUUAAUAUAUGUGUAUAUAUAUAUAUAUAUAUAUAUAUAUAUAUAGAGAGAGAGAGAGAGGUAAUGUUUAUAAAUAAAUGUUAUGCAAAUGCAUUAUUUAUUAUUACUCACAGUGGUGGAGAACAAAGCUCUAGCUUUGAUUCUGCCUAGAAGGAGCACUAGACAGGCCGAGUGACCUAAGGAAUUUAAGAAUAGCACACGGAAAAUGACUACAUCAGACAAAUAGGAAAUACAAGAAUCGCUCUAAUAAAUUAUCUACAUAUUCGAUUUCUAUAAAUAAUUUAAUUUCUAUCGAAAUUUCGAGAGCACCUCCCCUGAAAAUUGGACUAUCACCAAAAUUAUAAUUUACAAUGACAUUACAUCUAAACUACCUUAAUCCACACUUUAAUUCUAUUAAUAUAUCAUUAUCAAGGUUCCUUAAUUAAAUCAACACUAAUGAAAUAUAUGCUAGAAUGUAAUCAAUGCAAAAUAAAUUAGCUAACCACAAACUAAGAAAAACAUUCUGAAAAUAGUCCAAAAGUUAAAUUUAUAUACCCAAUAUAUUGCUGCCGGAAUUUGCUUGACCGGAAAUGGAGGCUACACGUGCUGGAACGAAAAGCAGGUGGAGGCUGGUGGCCGGAGUUGCGUUGAAGCAGCUGGACCACCGGCAACCGUCGCGACAAGGGAGGAGAACGGCUGUGGCUGACUGCGCUCGAUCGAUCGAAGGCAGGAGGGGCUGCGGCGCUGCGCGAUUCGGCCGAGGACGAAGCGGGACUGCUGGCGGAGUUACUGCGACGGUGAGCGGCAGCGAGGUGGCAUGCGAGGAGACCCGAUCGACCUGGUAUCGCCGCUGCCGCUCUAAGCCUCGCCAGAUGCAGACACAGAUGCAGGGAAAGAACGAACAAGAAGAAGAAGAAGGAGGAGGAGGAGGAGGAGGAGGAGGAGGCAGUGCUGGUGCUGUGUGCAGGUGGAGGCACAGAACGGGGGAGGGGAGGGUGAAGUGUGCGCUGGAAAUAGGGGAAGGAGAGGGUUCUAGAAGUGGUUUGGGUGAGUUGGGCUGGCUUGAUUCAAUUCAGGUUUGGUUCGGUCCAAAUCAUGGUUUUCAAUUGGUUUUCGAAUUUUCCAGCCGUUUAUUAAAUUUAAAUGACAAAUAUUUAAAAAUAAAAAUUCAGAUUAUUUCAGUCUUCCCCUUAAAAAAAAUUUGUCCUCCAAUUUAG